GGGAAUGUGGCUUAGUGGUAGAGUGCUUGCCUAGCAUGCAUGAAGCUCUGAGUUCCAUUCCUC
rnacentral:tRNA from 1 species